GUGACCUCGGAUCAGGUAGGGAUACCCGCGAACUAAUCUUCUAA
rnacentral:rRNA from 1 species